rnacentral:lncRNA from 1 species
UAGCCUUUUUGCGGAUCGGACUCGGAAACUGAGUCCUCCUGAUCUGAAAUAGUUAAAUAAGGGGUGAGCUACACUAGCCAAGUAAGGACAUCACAAUAUAUCGCCAUCACAGAAGCAAAGGUUGAUAGAAAACAAAAAACAACUAAUGGAGCACAAAUUUUAAACCAAUACAUUCACUAAAAUUAAAACCAUUUUUCCUUUUUCUUACCCUUGAAGAACCUGCAAAAACAACCUAUAAAGACAAUAACAUCAUAUAGAUCAUAACUUCAUGCACAAUCAGUAACAUAGAACAUAUCAUAAAUUCAUAUUCAUUAACAAUAACUAAUCAUCACCGUUUCUCAUUUCACCAGCCUACUAGUAUCCAUAGGGAUCCAUAGGGGUUCUCCGCUACACGUGAACCCUUUCCAUUAACAACCUUAAUUCCAAGACCGUCCCCGUAUCCCAUCCGGUAUGAGUGCCAAGAUAUUAAAUCUCAAUACCCCGUCCGGUAUGAGGGUGAAGCGGGCUGUCCUCAUACCCCGUCUGGUAUGAGUGCCAAAUGACCGAGUCUCCAUACCCCGUCCGGUAUGAGACAACGUUCACAGUAGGGUUCCCUAUGAACCCGGUCUGUCCACCAUCUCCUAGGAUAUCUAGUGAGACUGUCACCUUAUCUGUUUAUUAGAUCACAUCCCUUUCCUAUUUAUCCUUAAUCUCUGUUACCAAAUUAAACACAAUCACAUAAACAAUGAACAUGUACUUGGUAAUACAAUCAUAUCUUAAAUCCCAAAAUCACACAGUGGUCAAGUAAUACAGUAAUACAUGCAUUUAAAACACUAAAACCAGACACCAUCAUGCAUCUAAAUUGUAAAAUAAAUCAAUAGGAAUCAACAGAGAACAAUAUCUGAUUUCUGGCUCCAUUAGCAAUCUGUAAUUAAUUAUGCAUAUUUAUCUAACUUGUACAAGGACCGU